rnacentral:rRNA from 1 species
GAGAGUUUGAUCCUGGCUCAGGACGAACGCUGGCGGCGUGCCUAAUACAUGCAAGUAGAACGCUGAAGAGAGGAGCUUGCUCUUCUUGGAUGAGUUGCGAACGGGUGAGUAACGCGUAGGUAACCUGCCUUGUAGCGGGGGAUAACUAUUGGAAACGAUAGCUAAUACCGCAUAACAAUGGAUGACACAUGCCAUUUAUUUGAAAGGGGCAAUUGCUCCACUACAAGAUGGACCUGCGUUGUAUUAGCUAGUAGGUGAGGUAAUGGCUCACCUAGGCGACGAUACAUAGCCGACCUGAGAGGGUGAUCGGCCACACUGGGACUGAGACACGGCCCAGACUCCUACGGGAGGCAGCAGUAGGGAAUCUUCGGCAAUGGGGGCAACCCUGACCGAGCAACGCCGCGUGAGUGAAGAAGGUUUUCGGAUCGUAAAGCUCUGUUGUAAGUCAAGAACGGGUGUGAGAGUGGAAAGUUCACACUGUGACGGUAGCUUACCAGAAAGGGACGGCUAACUACGUGCCAGCAGCCGCGGUAAUACGUAGGUCCCGAGCGUUGUCCGGAUUUAUUGGGCGUAAAGCGAGCGCAGGCGGUUUGAUAAGUCUGAAGUUAAAGGCUGUGGCUCAACCAUAGUUCGCUUUGGAAACUGUCAAACUUGAGUGCAGAAGGGGAGAGUGGAAUUCCAUGUGUAGCAGUGAAAUGCGUAGAUAUAUGGAGGAACACCGGUGGCGAAAGCGGCUCUCUGGUCUGUAACUGACGCUGAGGCUCGAAAGCGUGGGGGAGCGAACAGGAUNANAUACCCUGGUAGUCCNCNCCGUAAACGAUGAGUGCUAGGUGUUGGAUCCUUUCCGGGAUUCAGUGNCCNAAACCUAACGCAUUUA